rnacentral:rRNA from 1 species
UACAGAGGGUGCGAGCGUUAAUCGGAAUUACUGGGCGUAAAGCGCACGUAGGCGGCUUGGUAUGUCGGGUGUGAAAUCCCCGGGCUCAACCUGGGAACUGCAUCCGAAACUGCCUUGCUCGAGUUUGGGAGAGGGAUGCGGAAUUCCAGGUGUAGCGGUGAAAUGCGUAGAUAUCUGGAGGAACACCGGUGGCGAAGGCGGCAUCCUGGACCAACACUGACGCUGAGGAGCGAAAGCCAGGGGAGCAAACGGG